AUAAUAUGGUUGUCGUAUUCUUUUAGCCAACUUGAGGCAACUUGUAUGCAUUAACUGACCUCGUAGGCAUUUUCAAUAUCGCCCAUAAUUAGCCCCCUAUGUGUGUAUCUCACGGUUCCAAUCGCGGCCAUGUCAUGAAGGACUAAUUUGGAAUGCAGCUGAUCAUGCUCAAAAGUCUACCAUGGUUCAUCCGUUCAUUAAUUUACAAACAGUUCACUCAAAAUAAACAUGAACACCAUGCAUGCAUACAAACACCGCACCACCACGGUUGUUGUGAUGAUCUUGGUCUCCUAAGGAGGCAAAGGAGCUCGACAAGCCGAAGACCUCCACCAGGUGCGCGCCGACAACCAUUCGGGCUGUCUUGGCCGCAGGGGCCGCCGCUAUCGCCAAGGCUGUGUAAGUCAUCAUCGCGCUCUUGCCAAGGCUGCCGCCAGGUGAGAACAAAUGAUUAUGAGGUAGCAUCUUCCUGAAAUUUUUACCAUAGAGAAGUGUUAGAGUAGAUAGCUUACAUUAUUUUAAGAUCUAUCAACACGUUAUAAUGUGUGAUGUCCUAUAGUUAUAAUAUUUCUUAAAGAAACAAUACAAAGUAAAACUUACAGUUUUCUAGCUAUAUGAUGCUUGUAUUGACUUAUAAUGUCGUAUCUAGAGGAUACAAGUAUCAUAAUUACAUAUCCGGCAUCUGCAUAACUAUAAUAUAUAUAACCAACAUAAACAUACACGCAGAAAAGAAAAUGUGAUCUCGAUAAGCCGCAACCACCUUCGGUUGUGCGGCUCACGAACGAUAUCAAAGACGACGCUAGACCUUGGGCUCGCGCUGGGGCCAAGGCGCCUGGCUAGCUGAUCACCGAGACGUAGGUUUGGUAGUUGGGCCGCGCUUGCCCUUCUCAUGCGCUCUUCUAUGCCUUGCACGCC
rnacentral:lncRNA from 1 species